rnacentral:rRNA from 1 species
UACGUAGGGUGCAAGCGUUGUCCGGAAUUAUUGGGCGUAAAGAGCUCGUAGGCGGUUUGUUGCGUCGGCUGUGAAAUCCCGAGGCUCAACCUCGGGUCUGCAGUCGAUACGAGCAAACUAGAGUGUUGCAGGGGAGACUGGAAUUCCUGGUGUAGCGGUGAAAUGCGCAGAUAUCUGGAGGAACACCGGUGGCGAAGGCGGCAUCCUGGACCAUGACUGACGCUGAGGAGCGAAAGCCAGGGGAGCAAACGGG